rnacentral:sRNA from 1 species
UCGAUAUUGAGAUAAGUGACUGCCGAAAC